CUGUGGGGGGUAGUAGUGGAGAGUCGGGAGAGUAGGGGAGAGCCUCUUCCUACGCUGGUGGUCCUCAGAGAGGAGGACCCCCGCCUCACAUGUGUGGCCAACUCCCUUCAUGGUCACAAGAUGACUGCAGCAAUUCCAGCUAUCACAAACUCACACCAACGCCCAGAGAGUCAUAGCAGGAUUUCAGAGAAACCCACUGGAGAUCAUCUGGUAUCUACACUGAACCAGCAUUCGGUGCCAAUAGAGGCCCAUUGAGCCCCCCGGGAUCACUGCAUUCUUCAGGUGACCCUGAGAGAAAUGACUGUGGAUAAAUGCUAGUGGGAGCUGAGAGUGAGACAGAGAGAGAGAGAGAUUCCAUGGUGCAUGAUGUCUGAGAAGAAGAAUCUAAAGGAGAAGAAUCCAAGCCUGGAUGGAGGGAUUGCUUUUGAUGUGGUCAGGAGGUGGCGAUGGAAGUUCCAACCCUCUAAUCUCACAGUCGGAUCCUCUGACAACCAGCCCCCAUCCUCCAAGAGUCGUCUCAUUGGCAUAAACUCAGUGCAUAGUGGUAAGGAAGGAGGUGGAAGAAUUGGAACUUCAAAAUAAUAAAGUAUAAAGAAAUGGCAAGUUCUCGAGAUUUUCUAAAAGGAGCAGAGAAGAGCGAACUUCUAGAGAUGCCUCUCACCACAGAGAGCAGAAUAAUUGUUGGCUGAGUGUUCUGACUCCUCAUCUGAGAUCAGCCUUUGCGUGUGUGCCCCAUCCUGCCAAUCACGUCUUACAGGAUCAUUCCACACUUGGAAUAUUGGAUGGGUCUGUCAGAUCUGCCCAUCACCCAUGAGAUGCGCAACGUGUGACAGCCAAAGACUGGUUAGAACUCAAGAAGGAAGCCUCCAAAGACCCUUUCUCCAAGCUGCUUAAGACUUUAUCAGGUUGAUAGAUAUUUUCUUGGUUAGAAAGGAAGAAUUUCCUUUAUGUUUCUUGGCGUGUUCUUCAAAGGGAAAUGCACAAUGUAGAUUAAAAAGUCUGAUGAAAUACAUUUAUAUAUUGCAAUAUGAUUACCACCGUAGCAUUAGUGAACAUCUCUCACGUCACAUAAUUAUUUUUUUUUGUGGUGAGAACAGAUAAGGUUUAGUCUCUUAGCAAUUUUGAAACUUAUAAUACAGUAUUGUUGAUAUAAUCAUCUAUAUACAUACCAAAUCAACAUGUUGUACACCUUAAACUUACACAUUGUUAUACGUCAAUUAUAUCUCAAUUAAGAAAAAAAAUCCAAUGAGAGGUUAAAAUCAGGGCCUGACUUGAGUGUUACUUUGAAGAAAGUAAGCACAACUUGCUUUAUCUGACUCUAAUGUAUUUGUCUGUAAUUGCUUUCGGGUGUAUGUAUGUGUGUGUGGAGGGAGCUCCAAGCAAUUAGGCAUAAUGUAAUUGACUAGCAAUGUACCAGUCAAGUGUUUCCAGGGGAUUCAGAAGGCUUGUUUAACUGUGUUACAGGAGAAAUGAGGCAUACAUGGUUCAGCGCAACAGGAGAUCUGGUUUUAACUUUUUUUCAAGUAGGAAGUAUCUUGUUUCCACCAAUGAGGUUAUAACAUCCCUUUUAACACAAUACCUAGAACUAAAUUAAUUCUACCUAAAAGAACCAAAAUCUAGGUAAGGAGGGCUUAGGUUUUCUGGACAGGUAUGCAGUCUUACCUGGUCGUGGCCAG
ensembl:lncRNA